rnacentral:rRNA from 1 species
CCUACGGGAGGCAGCAGUGAGGAAUAUUGGUCAAUGGCCGGAAGGCUGAACCAGCCAUGCCGCGUGAAGGUCAGUGCCCUAUGGGCGUUAAACUUCUUUUGUGCGGGAGCAAUAAUGGUCACGUGUGGCCAGACGAGAGUACCGUACGAAUAAGCAUCGGCUAACUACGUGCCAGCAGCCGCGGGAAUACGGGGGAUGCAAGCGGUAUUCGGAUUUAUUGGGUUUAAAGGGUGCGUAGGCUGUGAGGUAAGUCAGCGGUGAAAUGCCCACGCUCAACGGGGUGAAGUGCCAUUGAUACUGCCUUGCUUGAAUGCGGAUGCCGUGGGAGGAAUGUGUGGUGUAGCGGUGAAAUGCAUAGAUAUCACACAGAACACCGAUUGCGAAGGCAUCUCACGAAUCCGCGAUUGACGCUGAUGCACGAAAGCGUGGGUAUCAAACAGGAUUAGAUACCCCAGUAGUC